rnacentral:rRNA from 1 species
UACGUAGGGGGCGAGCGUUGUCCGGAAUGAUUGGGCGUAAAGGGCGCGUAGGCGGCCCGGUAAGUCUGGAGUGAAAGUCCUGUUUUUAAGAUGGGAAUUGCUUUGGAUACUGUCGGGCUUGAGUGCAGGAGAGGUAAGUGGAAUUCCCAGUGUAGCGGUGAAAUGCGUAGAGAUUGGGAGGAACACCAGUGGCGAAGGCGACUUACUGGACUGUAACUGACGCUGAGGCGCGAAAGUGUGGGGAGCAAACAGGAUUAGAUACCCUGGUAGUCCACACUGUAAACGAUGAAUGCUAGGUGUAGGGGGUAUCGACCCCUUCUGUGCCGCAGUCAACACAAUAAGCAUUCCGCCUGGGGAGUACGGCCGCAAGGUUGAAACUCAAAUGAAUUGACGGGG